rnacentral:rRNA from 1 species
UGAGUGAAGAAGGCCUUCGGGUUGUAAAGCUCUUUCGCAAGGGAAGAAAACUUAUCCGAUAAUACCGGGUGAGGCUGACGGUACCUUGAUAAGAAGCACCGGCUAACUACGUGCCAGCAGCCGCGGUAAUACGUAGGGUGCGAGCGUUAAUCGGAAUUACUGGGCGUAAAGCGUGCGCAGGCGGUUUUGCAAGUCAGAUGUGAAAGCCCCGGGCUCAACCUGGGAACUGCGUUUGAAACUGCAAGGCUAGAGUACGGGAGAGGGAGGUAGAAUUCCACGUGUAGCAGUGAAAUGCGUAGAGAUGUGGAGGAAUACCAAUGGCGAAGGCAGCCUCCUGGCCUGAUACUGACGCUCAUGCACGAAAGCGUGGGGAGCAAACAGGAUUAGAUACCCUGGUAGUCCACGCCCUAAACGA